rnacentral:rRNA from 1 species
GGAGCUUGCUCCUUUGACGUUAGCGGCGGACGGGUGAGUAACACGUGGAUAACCUACCUAUAAGACUGGGAUAACUUCGGGAAACCGGAGCUAAUACCGGAUAACAUAUUGAACCGCAUGGUUCAAUAGUGAAAGGCGGCUUUGCUGUCACUUAUAGAUGGAUCCGCGCCGUAUUAGCUAGUUGGUAAGGUAACGGCUUACCAAGGCAACGAUACGUAGCCGACCUGAGAGGGUGAUCGGCCACACUGGAACUGAGACACGGUCCAGACUCCUACGGGAGGCAGCAGUAGGGAAUCUUCCGCAAUGGGCGAAAGCCUGACGGAGCAACGCCGCGUGAGUGAUGAAGGUCUUCGGAUCGUAAAACUCUGUUAUCAGGGAAGAACAAAUGUGUAAGUAACUGUGCACAUCUUGACGGUACCUGAUCAGAAAGCCACGGCUAACUACGUGCCAGCAGCCGCGGUAAUACGUAGGUGGCAAGCGUUAUCCGGAAUUAUUGGGCGUAAAGCGCGCGUAGGCGGUUUUUUAAGUCUGAUGUGAAAGCCCACGGCUCAACCGUGGAGGGUCAUUGGAAACUGGAAAACUUGAGUGCAGAAGAGGAAAGUGGAAUUCCAUGGGUUAAACCG